AGAAAAAAUAAGUUUUAGUAAGAACCAAUUAGGACUCGAAGUAAAAACAAGCAAACUGCUUAAAGCGCGGGAAAACGCGCGUCACUAAGCUUUUAUUGGUUUUAGGAUUGCAUCUGAUUGGUUGGGAAAGUGGUGCGAGUUUUCCGGACCAAUCACAGAGAAAAGUAAAGUAGAACCAGAGCAAUCUCUGAUCACUUUCGACACCUAAUCGAAAAUGACGCCAUUGGUUGUGUCUUUUACUUGGGAGGUGGAUACGUGGAGCUGAAUAAGUCGCGGAUAGCUUAACUGUACGUGAGGCGUUAAAAAGUACCGGCUUGAAUGAGUUGCAUGGAAGAACAUUUUCAGAAAAUGUCCUAGUCGUUUUGUUAAUAGAUAUAUUUUUUAUGACGUUAGAAUGUUUUUUCUUUUUAGCAAAGUAAAAAUUGUUCGAUUUAACUUUUCCCCCUUUGAUGAUAAUGCAGGUAUCCCGGUUAUAACGAGCGUGCAUAUCCUUAUGCCUACACUAAACAGCACUGGCAUGUGAUUGCUGCGAAGCUGGCGUUUGUAUUUGUGUUCCAAUACAUCGUUUAUUCAAUCAGAAAGUUUUUGGCCUGGUUGGUUCCUGAUCAGCCAAAGUUGCUGGCGCUGAAAAUCAAACGGGAAGAAUUCCUGGCCAAGGAAGCCCUUCGAGAAAAAGAGACCGAAGAGGUCGAUGUAAACACUGAAGCAGUUGCUUAGUGAGCAACUGAUCGUGAGCAAUUGAAACUGGCGACUGGACUCUUCAUUUAACAAACGUGGAAAAACUAACCCAAGAGAAAUUAUCCAAGAUUUUCUAAUGCCAUUCUUCAGUAUAUAAUGUAACUAGAUUAACUCGUUCUCCUGAUCAAAGUGUUCGAACGGUUUUGUAUGUAAAGUUUUUUUUCGCAUUAGAGUGUUACUUAGAGGAUUAGUUGUUUCCAGACUAGUCUUUGUUCAUCAAAAUGUUACGUUAUCGUGCAAACUUACAUGGUUUUCGCUGUCUUUUUAACUCAGAAAAUAAUGUAAACUUCUGGUUUGAUGUGGCAAGAGAAUUUACAUCAGUUGACGGGCGGCGAGGGUGUGCAUGAUCAAAAUAAAUAUAUCCAACAAUAACUGUUAUUUUAAUUAACCUCUCUCAAAAGUGGUGACGUAAAUGAAAAAUUUUGGAAAACUCACCUUUUCUACUACAUUGAACGUAUUCCAUUUGGUGCAUACUUACAAUUGUUUGUGUCACACUGGCCCUUAGGACUUUGGAACAGUAGUGGCGGUAGAAGUAGUUGUAGUGUUUGUUGUUGUUCCUGCUGUUUUUGUCAAAGUAAAACAGCAAUUGACUGCAACAACAUCUGAGUGGCUGGAACUUUUUUUAAUGACCAAUUUGGAGGCUAGUUUAAGAAUCGAUCUGUUUAGCAGAGGUUGUAGUAGUAGUAGUAGUGUUUGUUGUUGUCGCUGUGUAUGCUGUUAUUAACAGAUUAAAACUGUAAUUAACUGCAACAAC